GAUGAACGCUGGCGGCGUGCUUAACACAUGCCAGUCGAACGAAGCACCUUAUCUGAUUUCCUUCGGGACUGAUUAUUUUGUGACUGAGUGGCGGACGGGUGAGUAACUCGUGGGUAACCUGCCUUGUACAGGGGGAUAACAAUUGGAAACGGCUGCUAAUACCGCAUAAGCGCACAGCAUCCCAUGCUGCGGUGUGAAAAAGUCCCGUGGCAUAAGAUGUACCCGCGUUGGAUUGGCUAGUUGGUGAGGUUACGGCCUACCAAGGCGAGGAUCCAUAGCCGGGCAGGGAGAGUGGCCGGACACAUUGGGAGUGAGGCACGGGACGAACUCCUACGGGAGGAGGGAGUGGGGAAUAAUGAACAAUGGGCGAAGGACUGAUGCAGCGAGGGCGCGUGAGCGAAGAAGUAUUUCGGUAAGUAAAGUUCUAUCAGCAGGGAAGGUAAUGACGGUACCUGACUAAGAAGCACCGGCUAAAUAAGUG
rnacentral:rRNA from 1 species